rnacentral:rRNA from 1 species
UGGCGGACGGGUGAGUAACGCGUGGAUAACCUGCCCCAUACCGGGGGAUAACAGCCGGAAACGGCUGCUAAUACCGCAUAAGCGCACGGGAAUGCAUGUUUCAGUGUGAAAAACUCCGGUGGUAUGGGAUGGAUCCGCGUCUGAUUAGCUGGUUGGCGGGGGAGAGGCCCACCAAGGCGACGAUCAGUAGCCGACCUGAGAGGGUGGCCGGCCACAUUGGGACUGAGACACGGCCCAGACUCCUACGGGAGGCAGCAG